CAUGUGUUUCCUGCUGGGGCUGUAUCGAAACUACCCUGUCUAGAAAACCUAUCCAUGUUUAAAAGUCGAUAUAGCCCCAGCAGGAAACACAUGUAGUUCCUCUGUAUAAGAGAGAUCAAGACGCCUGAGAUUUACCAAGCCUUCGAUACCAUAUGGCAACUCUUCGAUCAAGCUAUAUGAAAGGUCCAGUAUCCUCAGUUCCUUGAGCAUUGCUAAUGAAGGAAGAUUUUUAAG
rnacentral:misc_RNA from 1 species